rnacentral:misc_RNA from 1 species
GUGGUCAGUGGCGACUUUCAUGAUAACUGGAUUUACUGGGUUGGGCCGCUCGUUGGCGGUGGCUUAGCUGGGCUUAUCUACUUUUACGCCUUUAUGGCCUAUGGGCCCAGCCCAAUUCCAAAUGAUUUCUAAGGCCCAAACAACUUACGCCCUUUUUUGUUUUUCUUUUAUUGCUCUGUUCCCUCUGCAAUAAGAGGAGGAAAAG